UACAGAGGUCCCAAGCGUUGUUCGGAUUCAUUGGGCGUAAAGGGUGCGUAGGUGGCUUGGUAAGUCGGGUGUGAAAUCCCGGGGCUCAACCCCGGAACUGCACUCGAUACUGCCGUGCUCGAGUACUGGAGAGGAGACUGGAAUUUACGGUGUAGCAGUGAAAUGCGUAGAUAUCGUAAGGAAGACCGGUGGCGAAGGCUAGUCUCUGGACAGUUACUGACACUGAGGCACGAAGGCCAGGGGAGCAAACGGG
rnacentral:rRNA from 1 species